rnacentral:misc_RNA from 1 species
GAAUGUGCGGCGACGGCGCAAGCCCGAGCCAGCCAAUCCACCCUUGUGCAAUGUACCGUACCCUGGCGGGGCCUGCUCCGCCAAAGGGCUUUCGAGCCCGACCAACACUUUAAUCUCUGUCUGAACUUUACGAACCAAAUGAUCUAAACAACUUUUGACAACGGAUCUCUUGGCUCU